rnacentral:rRNA from 1 species
CAGCAGCCGCGGUAAUACGAAGGGUGCAAGCGUUAAUCGGAAUUACUGGGCGUAAAGCGUGCGUAGGCGGUUUGUUAAGUCUGUUGUGAAAUCCCCGGGCUCAACCUGGGAAUGGCAAUGGAUACUGGCAAGCUAGAGUGUGUCAGAGGAUGGUGGAAUUCCCGGUGUAGCGGUGAAAUGCGUAGAGAUCGGGAGGAACAUCAGUGGCGAAGGCGGCCAUCUGGGACAACACUGACGCUGAGGCACGAAAGCGUGGGGAGCAAACAGGAUUAGAUACCCGGGUAGUCCCUGUCUCUUAUAC